GAUACUGAUUUUCCAAAGCACUACCCCACUGGUUGUCUCCUUGGUUGUGUUGACAUGGUGGACUGUCUAUCUCAAGAAGACUACAGAUAUAAGUUUCCAGAAGGAGAGUCAUCAUCGCCUUAUGUUUUCAUCUGUGAGAACCCACAAGAAUUAGUCAUCAAAUUUCCAAUCAAGGGAAAACAUAAAAUAUGGAGGUUAGAUGGCACCAUGCAUAAAUCAGCUAAAAAGGGCCUUAGGCAGAUUCUUCAACACUCGUGAUAGGACCAACUCAGACAGAACUAUGUAGCAAGAUCCGCCGCCUGGAAUACACUCAGCAUUCAUGUUGGGGUGCAGGUAUAUGGGAUGGAAUACCAAUGAAUGCAUAAGAAACAAAACUCUAGAUGAGACAGAAUCAAUCCUUAAAGAAUCGCAUUACCAGUCGGCCAUCUUGUUAUCAGUCAACAGUUGCUGACUAUAUGGAGUUCAGGAGAUCCGUUUUGGAGAUCAGGAAAGAUGUGCACCUUGGAGGGUAGUGAUGAAUAUUGUUGAGACUUAUAAAUCAGAUGCAUUCUAUGUACACAGAUUAUGAGGCAUAGAUUAAAAAAUUAUCUGAUUCUGUGAUUUCCAAUGUCACAGAUAUAUUUCAAUGCAACAAGGCAGAGGCAGAAAACCAAAGACUUCAUAUAUCGUUUCAUAGAGAGAGAUGGAACUUCCAUGUAGCUGUAAACAAUGCGUACAAUCUUCUCCCAUCCUCAUAUCUGAUGGCCAUUGGUCAUCGAUCCAUACCUUUUAUCCAUACAUGCAUGCUUUGCUGUCUCCUGUACCCUCUGGAAAUGAUUUUCCUGUCCAUUGAUUUUCACCAUCAUUCCCAGUCCUUCUCUGGCUUUGUCUUGACCUUAUUCUCCUGAUUCAGCACUCCAUAGACAAAAUAAGUUCUUGAUCUGCGACUCCAUAUUUCACAAACAACUUGGAGCAUCAUCACCUUUGAAGGCUAUUUUUCUCUUUGCAUGGAUAUGACUUUGACAACAACCAGCUUCAUAUCAUCGCCCGACUGGAGGAAGGGUAGUAGCUUUAUGCCUCGCAUGAAGUCUCUAAAUCAAGCAUGUGCUAUGCGAUAUCUACAGUGUGCACAAAUGUUAACUCCCCCCAACCCUUCCAAGGGUGAGGUUGAAUUGACGUAAAUCAUAUUGCCUGUAUGCCAACCAAAGGAUGACAUUUUUCAACUGCUUAGAUCUAUGUGUCUAAACAUACAAGUUUCCAGCACUACUGCUGCAAGUUUAUUGGUAUUGUCUCCAACUUCUGGUUAUACUUUCUUCACAAUGGAUAGUGAAAUAUGGUUGACAAACAUAAAUAUAUGAAAAAAAUAUAGAAAGAAACGUGACCUGGACUCGAAAUAGUGUUACAUUAGGGUUGAAAUCCUCUGGAGCCAAUAUAUAAAACUACUUUUACAAAAAAAUAGAUAUAUUUCUUUAAGAAAAUACGACAUAUCAUAGAUAAAGAACCAUUCCUUUGUAAUUCUUCAGAUAACCUUCAUGUCGAUCAUUAUACAGUGUGUCCCAAAAAAAAUGAAACCGAGAUUCAGUGUAAUUUUUUGCUAUCUUGAUCAUAAAUUUGCUUCAUGAAAUGUACAUGUACAUGAAUGGAAAGAUAUGCUUCUCUUCCUUCAUUUAAAGCCCAUCUAAAUGGUCAUGAUGCAUGCAUAACUGAGUUAAAACAAUGGAAAUUUCCAUUUACACGAGCAAAUUACGUUUUUAAUUUAGUGUUUCUGACAUUUAAUGUUGUCUAUUUGGAAAACACAGUUCAUAACUUAACCCUUAUUAAACUGGGGGGGGGGUCAAUUUGACCCCCCCCCCCUCAACAAAUUUUGUCACUACACUGUCAUUAAGAAGGCCUUUACAAUUGCUUGUAUUGAAUGAGCAUGAUCAAAUGCAAGUACAUGUAUACACUGAGACACCUUGUUUUCAAUUGAAAGUUUUUUUUUUUUUCAGAGGGAAUUUAUGAGCAAUGCUUUAACAAUUUUCAUUGCAUUGUUAUGAACGUUCAUACUCUACCGAGUUAGGUCGUCAUUCCAACCCAAGAAUUUAAAAUUAAAGUUAUGGAAGUAUAAAUAUGUUUGGCAAAGCCAAUGGAGUUGGUAGAAUUAAAGCAAACAUUCUAAUGCAUUCAUGAUUACAGCUUUUUGGGUCACAUCAUUUUAUGGUACAAGAAUGUAACACCUCACUUUCAUUUUACAACAUGAGCUACACUCCAUGGCAGUUUUUCUUUUAAUAACUCAUAAAGUUGCUUUGUAAAUUAUAUUUUGGUGGAAUAAAACUCCAAUGUUGCUAUCUUAGAAGAGGUUUACUGAAAUUUUGGUGCAACAGGCCCCGAGUAUUCUAUUUAAUUUCUAUAUCAGAAAUAUCAUUUUUUUGGAUUUGAUGAAUUAAUUUUCCAAACUUGGUAUUUACUUGAUGCAUUUCAAGAAUUGUUUCUUCUUUGUACUGCAUUGCCAAUUGUAAUGUAAUACUUCUACGAGUGCUGUAGGAAGUGUCUUUAGGGAAAAAAAUAAUCAAGACUUUGUUGAAAUAUUCUUUCCAUGGACUGAAACUGAUAAUCAAAUUUUUCAGCCCCAAAAAAUGGUGUUGUGCCUAAAGUAUGAUUGAACCCUUGUUCUCAGGAGAUUUAUUCUAAUUGAUUGUGGAGCCUUGAAUUUGCAGGUUUAUCCAUCUACAUUAAAUUAUGAUUUGCUGCAGAGAAUUGUCAGCAGCAAUAAUUGCCUUUAACCCAAUAUCUACUAGAACCAGGUGAUUCCUGCCAAAUCAUUUUGAAAUUCUAAAAUUCAGUAGAUAAAUAGUUGAACAUGAUAAUAGUGAUAGAUACUACAUGCAUACACAUAAAUUUACGCACUUAUGUACUGUUUUUCAAUCAAAAUAUGUUCAGCGCUUUACAAUGUAACAUAACAAUGAAUAAUUCUACUCUACAAGUGCUUACAAUAUAAUGAAAAUAAAUAGGUUUCUGGCUUGUUUUUUAAUACUGCCAAAAGACUUAUGACUUGAAAGGGAGAAUAUUCCAAUACUGGGACCAAUGAAACUUAUGCAUUGUUGACCUAUCUGGGAGUUCAUGCUUGGAAAUUGUAGAUGAAAAGGGUCUGUUCUAUAUAGUACAUAAUGAACAGUGAGAUUGUUGGACUGGAGAAAACGACCAUGAAAUGCAUUGUGGUGUCAGAUUGCAAAUAGAUCUAUGUGCUAAAUCCACUCUGCAGAGUUAAACUUUGAAUUGGACCAGCCUGAAUCCAAUGACCGGGUUUAUGAAAUAUUGUAUUGCUUUGAGACGUUAUUUCAUUUUAUCUCUUAGUGGGCCAUUUUUUAAAUAAGUUCUGUAAUCUGAUUGUUCAGUUUGUUUGUGAGGCAAACCUGUAUUUACCUAAUUUACUCUUUAGAAAUAUCAAAUGGGUAAUAUGAGCCCAUAUCACCUGUUUAAUCUUCAUCUGCUGUCGUCUUGACAUUUAUUUUCAUUGUUACGCGCAUGCCCAUUGCUGAUAUCAACUAUGUAACAUGAGACCGUAUUACAUGCAUAUUCAAGCAUUGCACUGUGCACUUCUAUUUGUGCAUCAAUUUUAAUGGCAAAAUGUA